GCCUCCUUCCUUGGUCAAGGUUCCCGCAGGCUCCAGCAACCACCACCUCCCCCGGCCUCGCUGGCAACCUGAUGGGGUCGACCCCAGGGCCUUUGCACCACCACCAGCGGCAGCCAUGCAGAAGUUUCUUCACCCACAUGUUGCCCUUGGCUCUCCGCCUGCCUUCAGGUAUCUGCUUGGCUGGCUACCUCAUUCCAUCAGGUCUCAACUAGAAUGUUGCCUCCUCUGACUGGCCUCAGCUGUCCCCCUCCAACACGUUCUAUAGAACGUCACCUUGCCUGUCUUGUCUGAAGAACAUACAUCUCAGCAAAGCAUCCAUUCCCAGAGAGUGUCUCUGCCGACCUAGCCCAGGAGAAUCGCUUAGGAAGUUAAGUGUUGGGUGAAUGAAUUCAAUCCUUCAUCUGACAAUAAGUGGAUUCAGCCCAUCCAGUCUCAUCUCAGUUCUGGCACUCCUCCCAGGGGGUCCAGGUCCUGCCAAGGAUCGGGACGACAGGUAUCCUGGCUGUUGACAGGAGGGCACCCACACAGGCCAGUGUUGUGGGGUCUUCAAGGAAUCUCAGGGUCUGUCCUAACAAGAAAUGUAAUUGGUGUUUUGGAGAAGUACGAG
ensembl:lncRNA